rnacentral:rRNA from 1 species
GGACCUGACUGCUAUCGGAUUGAUACUAAGCCAUGCGAGUCAUUGUAGCAAUACAAGGCAUACGGCUCAGUAACGCGUAGUCAACCUAACCUAUGGACGGGAAUAACCUCGGGAAACUGAGAAUAAUGCCCGAUAGAACAUUAUGCCUGGAAUGGUUUGUGUUCCAAAUGAUUUAUCGCCGUAGGAUGGGACUGCGGCCUAUCAGUUUGUUGGUGAGGUAAUGGCCCACCAAGACUAUUACAGGUACGGGCUCUGAGAGGAGUAGCCCGGAGAUGGGUACUGAGACACGGACCCAGGCCCUAUGGGGCGCAGCAGGCGAGAAAACUUUGCAAUGUGCGAAAGCACGACAAGGUUAAUCCGAGUGGUUUCUGCUAAAGAAACCUUUUGUCAGUCCUAGAAACACUGAUGAAUGAGGGGUGGGCAAGUUCUGGUGU